GGAGAGAAGCCGCACUGGCGUUCGGCGAGCAGGCUGCAUACGACCUCAAGUUAGGUGAUGAACACAGCGCGGCAUCUGCGCUUCUCCGUUCCGCUAAAUGCUACGCUUGGAUCCAUGAGGAAGACGAGGGGGCAAUCGCCGCCACGAAACUCGCAUUGGACAAGGCCCUCGCGUUGUUCGUCAAGAGAAACGAUCUGGAAAUGGCUGCCGUCAGUUGUGAGGAGCUGGCAGAGUUACAUGUGGAGCAGCGGGAGCUACAGACCGCUUUGGAUUUCUUCGAAAAGGCCGCGGAUUAUUACGGCAGCAAUCUCUGCAGCCGGAGCUGCAGAUUCGAAGCUGGUCGGCUGAGGUUUCUCUUGGACAACAAAGAGACCUAUCUUCAGUCAUCUGACCCUGACUGACGUUCACAAUUGUACGAGGUGUUUGCUACUGGUAUAAUGUAGCCCUCAUCCUUGGUUGUAAAACUACUGGCUCAAGCUUCUGUCAGUAAAAAUUAGACUAAGAUUAGAGUUGUUGACACUGUUUUCUGACACGUGUCAAGGGAGGUGA